CCUACGGGUGGCUGCAGUGAGGAAUAUUGGUCAAUGGCCGGAAGGCUGAACCAGCCAAGCCGCGUGAAGGUCAGUGCCCUAUGGGCGUUAAACUUCUUUUGUGCGGGAGCAAUAAUGGUCACGUGUGGCCAGACGGGAGUACCGUAGGAAUAAGCAUCGGGUAACUCCGUGCCAGCAGCGGCGGGAAUAUAGGGGAUGCAAGCGUUAUCCGGAUUUAUUGGGUUUAAAGGGGGUGUAGGUUGGGAGGUAAGUCAGCGGUGAAAUGCCCCGGCGCAACGGGGUGAAGUGCCAUUGAUACUGCCUGGCUUGAAUGCGGAUGAAGUGCGAGGAAUGUGUGGUGUAGCGGUGAAAUGCAUAGAUAUCACACAGAACUCCGAUUGCGAAGGCAUCUCACGAAUCCCCGAUUGACGCUGAUGCACGAAAGCGUGGGUAUCAAACAGGAUUAGAUACCCCGGUAGUC
rnacentral:rRNA from 1 species